rnacentral:rRNA from 1 species
UACGGGGGGGGCAAGCGUUGUUCGGAAUUACUGGGCGUAAAGGGCUCGUAGGCGGCCAACUAAGUCGGAUGUGAAAUCCCCAGGCUCAACCUGGGAACGGCAUCCGAUACUGGAUGGCUUGAAUCCGGGAGAGGGAUGCAGAAUUCCAGGUGUAGCGGUGAAAUGCGUAGAUAUCUGGAGGAAUACCGGUGGCGAAGGCGGCAUCCUGGACCGGCAUUGACGCUGAGGAGCGAAAGCUAGGGGAGCAAACGGG